CAACAAGUUACCCAAACAAUCUCCCAGUUUAGACAGUAACAUCAACGCACCUCGACCAAAGUUCUUAAGGCUUUGAGGAUCAAGAGGAUUAGCACUGCUAUUCCGAUUCAGAGUUAAGUUUAAAAGACAGGCUUUGCCUAUUCAGGUUGGCUGGCCGGUGCUGACGGGACGGAGCUGAGGCUAGAGUUAAAUUCCUAUGUUAGACUUCCGCUGUAGCAAUUACUCAUAUCCGUCUUUUAUUUUCCCAACUUAAGAUCUUCAUGUUAAAUUUCAAAUGAUAUACCUGACCGAGCUCAGACUCUUCACUACUAAAUUUAUGCUAAUGAAUGUCGGUUGUCAGAAGCAUGAAACAAAACUUGUGAUCCAAAGGGGCAUAGCCCGACUUUCUAUCAUAUUUCGGU